UCAAAACAGGGUUAUUGCUGGCUACUAUUGGUCCACAAUAAUCAACGACGUGAAAGAAUGGGUGAGAUCUUGUCACUGCUGCCAGCUGAAUGACCCCAUCAAACUGUUGUGCCAGUCUUGCAUUCCAUUAAGGUAAAAGAAGCUUGGGAGGUGCUUGGUUUAGAUUGAUUGGACCACUACCAGAAACAGAACGCAGCAACAAAUCGGAAAUGCUUGCCUCAAGAUUGUAGAAGAAGCUGCACUACAACAUUU